rnacentral:lncRNA from 1 species
CAAACAGCUCCCAUAAAUGUUAACAGCACAGCUAGACUUAAGGAUUGUGCACAAAAGGCAGUUUUUUUCUGGAUAAGAUCUCUGCCAUAGUACAUGUUGUUUGGUGUCUUGAUGGUGAAUCCCUUGAAGAGGUUGGCCUGCUGUCACCUCAUGCUGGUGAUGAAAGAGAUGCCAGCAAUUCAGCCACAUCACUGUUUUUUGGUGGGCCAGAGCUCACUCUUUCAUUAGGCUGCAGUUAAAGGCCAGGUGUAUGGCAUCAUUCUUCUUAGCAAAAUAUUUUCUCUUCUCCAGCAGGCUGCAGUGCAGGGGAAACAACACACAUCCUCAAAAGAGCAAGGGAAAAAAACAUAAUUUCUUUUGGGUUGGAAUACUAGCUGUCCAACAGCAGAGAUUCGAUGACUGCAUUGCUCUUCUCUGAGCUUGGGGAUCACUGCAUAUCCCUUUCAGUCUCACAGUAAGUCCUCUUCUCUGAAUAUGUUUCUUUACAUUUUUUGUCUUUCUCCUUUU